UACGUAGGUGGCAAGCGUUGUCCGGAAUUAUUGGGCGUAAAGCGCGCGCAGGCGGUCCUUUAAGUCUGAUGUGAAAGCCCACGGCUCAACCGUGGAGGGUCAUUGGAAACUGGGGGACUUGAGUACAGAAGAGAAGAGUGGAAUUCCACGUGUAGCGGUGAAAUGCGAGAGAUGUGGAGGAACACCAGUGGCGAAGGCGACUCUUUGGUCUGUAACUGACGCUGAGGCGCGAAAGCGUGGGGAGCAAACAGG
rnacentral:rRNA from 1 species